AUUCUUUUAGUAUAAAAAGUAUAAUUGAUUUCCAAUCAAAAGGUUAAAAAUUUAAAAGAAUA
rnacentral:tRNA from 1 species